UACAGAGGGGGCAAGCGUUGUUCGGAAUUACUGGGCGUAAAGGGCGCGUAGGCGGCCCGCUAAGUCGAACGUGAAAUCCCCGAGCUCAACUCGGGAACUGCGUCCGAUACUGGCGGGCUUGAAUCCGGGAGAGGGAUGCGGAAUUCCCGGUGUAGUGGUGAAAUGCGUAGAGAUCGGGAGGAACACCUGUGGCGAAGGCGGCUCGCUGGGCCGGUCCUGACGCUGAGACGCGAAGGCGUGGGGAGCGAACGGG
rnacentral:rRNA from 1 species